UUGGACUUAAACCCCAAAUAUAAAAGAUUACCUUUUUUUUAGAA
rnacentral:tRNA from 1 species